GAGCGGUCGGGGUUAGCGUAAUCUCCCUGAUGAGAGCUUUCGUCGACUCAAAACCGCUA
rnacentral:hammerhead_ribozyme from 15 species